GCAAGUCGAGGGGCAGCAUGUUGUGUGCUUGCACACAAUGAUGGCGACCGGCGCACGGGUGAGUAACACGUAUCCAACCUGCCCCCUGGUAGGGAAUAGCCCGGUGAAAACCGGAUUAAUGCCCUAUGUUCUCCUUUGAGGGCAUCUGAGAAGGAGCAAAGAUUUAUCGCCAUGGGAUGGGGAUGCGGCUGAUUAGGAAGCCGGCGGGGUGACGGCCCACCGGUCCUUCGAUCAGUAGGGGUUCUGAGAGGAAGGUCCCCCACACUGGUACUGAGACACGGACCAGACUCCUACGGGAGGCAGCAGUGAGGAAUAUUGGUCAAUGGGCGAUAGCCUGAACCAGCCAAGUAGCGUGCAGGAAGACGGCCCUACGGGUUGUAAACUGCUUUUAUGCGGGGGUAAAGUGUGCCACUAGUGGCAUAUUGCAAGUACCGCAUGAAUAAGGACCGGCUAAUUCCGUGCCAGCAGCCGCGGUAAUACGGAAGGUCCGGGCGUUAUCCGGAUUUAUUGGGUUUAAAGGGAGCGCAGGCGGGUUUUUAAGCGUGACGUGAAAUGUCCCGGCCCAACCGGGGAGUUGCGUCGCGAACUGGGGACCUUGAGUGGCGGCGAUGUGCGCGGAACUCGUGGUGUAGCGGUGAAAUGCUUAGAUAUCACGAAGAACUCCGAUUGCGAAGGCAGCGCGCAAGCCGUUUACUGACGCUGAGGCUCGAAGGUGCGGGUAUCGAACAGGAUUAGAUACCCUGGUAGUCCGCACGGUAAACGAUGGAUGCCCGCUGUUGGGUUAUUGAUAUUCAGCGGCCAAGCGAAAGCGUUAAGCAUCCCACCUGGGGAGUACGCCGGCAACGGUGAAACUCAAAGGAAUUGACGGGGGCCCGCACAAGCGGAGGAACAUGUGGUUUAAUUCGAUGAUACGCGAGGAACCUUACCCGGGCUUGAACUGCAGGUGGACGAUCCAGAGAUGGUGAGGUCCUUCGGGACACCUGUGGAGGUGCUGCAUGGUUGUCGUCAGCUCGUGCCGUGAGGUGUCGGCUUAAGUGCCAUAACGAGCGCAACCCCUGCCGCCAGUUGCCAUCACUUCGGGUGGGCACUCUGUCGGGACUGCCACCGCAAGGUGUGAGGAAGGUGGGGAUGACGUCAAAUCAGCACGGCCCUUACGUCCGGGGCUACACACGUGUUACAAUGGCCGUUACAGAGGGCAGGCUCAUUGCAAGAUGAGUCUAAUCGAGAAAGACGGUCUCAGUUCGGAUUGGGGUCUGCAACCCGACCCCAUGAAGCUGGAUUCGCUAGUAAUCGCGCAUCAGCCAUGGCGCGGUGAAUACGUUCCCGGGCCUUGUACACACCGCCCGUCAAGCCAUGAAAGCCUGGGGC
rnacentral:rRNA from 1 species